rnacentral:rRNA from 1 species
GAUGAACGCUGGCGGUAUGCUUAACACAUGCAAGUCGAACGGACUCUUCGGAGUUAGUGGCGGACGGGUGAGUAACGCGUGAGAAUCUGGCCGUGGGUUCGGGACAACCACUGGAAACGGUGGCUAAUACCGGAUGUGCCGAGAGGUAAAAGAGAAAUUGCCUGAAGAUGAGCUCGCGUCUGAUUAGCUAGUUGGUGAGGUAAAGGCUCACCAAGGCAGCGAUCAGUAGCUGGUCUGAGAGGAUGACCAGCCACACUGGGACUGAGACACGGCCCAGACUCAUGCGAGGGGGAGGAGUGGGGAAUUUUCCGCAAUGGGGGAACGACUGACGGAGCAAUCGCGCGUGGGAGAAGAAGGGUCUUGGGUUGUAAAGCUCUUUUCUUAGGGAAGAACAAAAUGACGGUACCUAAGGAAUAAGCAUCGGCUAACUACGUG